rnacentral:rRNA from 1 species
UACGUAGGGUGCAAGCGUUAAUCGGAAUUACUGGGCGUAAAGCGUGCGCAGGCGGUUGUGCAAGACAGAUGUGAAAUCCCCGGGCUUAACCUGGGAACUGCAUUUGAGACUGCACGGCUAGAGUGUGUCAGAGGGGGGUAGAAUUCCACGUGUAGCAGUGAAAUGCGUAGAUAUGUGGAGGAAUACCGAUGGCGAAGGCAGCCCCCUGGGAUAACACUGACGCUCAUGCACGAAAGCGUGGGGAGCAAACAGG